UACGUAGGGGCGAGCGUUGUCCGGAAUGAUUGGGCGUAAAGGGCGCGUAGGCGGCCUGUCAAGUCAGUAGUGGAAGUCCAUCUUUCAAGGAUGGAAGUGCUACAGAAACUGAUGGGCUUGAGUGCAGGAGAGGUUAUCGGAAUUCCCGGUGUAGCGGUGAAAUGCGUAGAGAUCGGGAGGAACACCAGUGGCGAAGGCGGGUAACUGGACUGCAACUGACGCUGAGGCGCGAAAGUGUGGGGGGCAAACAGGAUUAGAUACCCGCGUA
rnacentral:rRNA from 1 species